GGGCCUGUAGCUCAGUUGGGAGAGCGCUUGAAUGGCAUUCAAGAGGUCAGCGGUUCGAUCCCGCUCAGGUCCA
rnacentral:tRNA from 4 species